rnacentral:rRNA from 1 species
CCUACGGGUGGCAGCAGCGAGGAAUCUUCCACAAUGGGCGAAAGCCCGAUGGAGCAACGCCGCGUGGAGGACGACGGCCUUCGGGUUGUAAACUCCUUUCGGGGGGGAUGCAGUACCCUCAGAAGAAGCCCCGGCUAACUCUGUGCCAGCAGCCGCGGUAAUACAGAGGGGGCAAGCGUUGUCCGGAAUUACUGGGCGUACAGCGCGCGCAGGCGGACCGCCACGUGCCGUGUGACAAGCCACUGCUCAACAGUGGAGGGCCAGGGUACACGAGCGGUCUGGAGGCAGGGAGAGGGAUGUGGAAUGCCCGGUGGAGCGGUGAAAUGCGUAGAGAUCGGGCGGAACACCAGCGGCGAAGGCGGCAUCCUGGUCUGUCUGACGCUGAGGCGCGAGAGCGUGGGGAGCGAACUGGAUUAGAUACCCUUGUAGUC